GGCGGGGUGCUUACACAUGCAGUCGAACGAUGAAGCCCAGCUUGCUGGGUGGAUUAGUGGCGAACGGGUGAGUAACACGUGAGCAACCUGCCCCUGACUCUGGGAUAAGCGCUGGAAACGGCGUCUAAUACUGGAUAUGUCCCGUCACCGCAUGGUGUGCGGGUGGAAAGAUUUUUCGGUUGGGGAUGGGCUCGCGGCCUAUCAGCUUGUUGGUGAGGUAAUGGCUCACCAAGGCGUCGACGGGUAGCCGGCCUGAGAGGGUGACCGGCCACACUGGGACUGAGACACGGCCCAGACUCCUACGGGAGGCAGCAGUGGGGAAUAUUGCACAAUGGGCGAAAGCCUGAUGCAGCAACGCCGCGUGAGGGAUGACGGCCUUCGGGUUGUAAACCUCUUUUAGCAGGGAAGAAGCGAAAGUGACGGUACCUGCAGAAAAAGCACCGGCUAACUACGUGCCAGCAGCCGCGGUAAUACGUAGGGUGCAAGCGUUAUCCGGAAUUAUUGGGCGUAAAGAGCUCGUAGGCGGUCUGUCGCGUCUGCUGUGAAAUUCCGAGGCUCAACCUCGGGCUUGCAGUGGGUACGGGCAGACUAGAGUGCGGUAGGGGAGAUUGGAAUUCCUGGUGUAGCGGUGGAAUGCGCAGAUAUCAGGAGGAACACCGAUGGCGAAGGCAGAUCUCUGGGCCGUAACUGACGCUGAGGAGCGAAAGGGUGGGGAGCAAACAGGCUUAGAUACCCUGGUAGUCCACCCCGUAAACGUUGGGAACUAGUUGUGGGGUCCUUUCCACGGAUUCCGUGACGCAGCUAACGCAUUAAGUUCCCCGCCUGGGGAGUACGGCCGCAAGGCUAAAACUCAAAGGAAUUGACGGGGACCCGCACAAGCGGCGGAGCAUGCGGAUUAAUUCGAUGCAACGCGAAGAACCUUACCAAGGCUUGACAUACACGAGAACGGGCCAGAAAUGGUCAACUCUUUGGACACUCGUGAACAGGUGGUGCAUGGUUGUCGUCAGCUCGUGUCGUGAGAUGUUGGGUUAAGUCCCGCAAC
rnacentral:rRNA from 1 species